GUGGUGGUUGGUUCACCGGUCCGGUGGCACUGGAUUGGCACCAGCACAGAGCUCCUGCUUACGGAAACGAAGAUCUGUUCUUGGGGAUGCGAAGAUCCAGGGAGGCACUCUCCCGUUCAGUUCUCCUUACUAUCGGUUCAGGGCCAUGCCACCGCAGGUGAAAGUUAAUCCCCUUCUGGGCCGGCAGACGUGACAUGGCUGGCUUUCACGGGAUUGGCAUUGGUGGCGCAGUCAAUACUACCUACAGAAGUGCCACCAAUCUGCACCAAGCUAUUGCGUCAAGGUGAGAUGAUCAAUUCGCUCCUUGGCGGCCGCCACCCUGUUUAGUACUCUUAUUAAUCUAAUUCCUCUUAUUUCUCUCUUGUUGAUGCAAACCUGCAAACUUCAUGUGAAGGCUCAGUCUUUUCGUGUGUUUCAUACGUCUUGAAAACACAUAGGUUGAUUCAUAUGAUUCUUCAGCGGUAGCAAGUUUGUCAUGUACAUUCCUUCCUAUAAGCAACUGAAGCGGCAGGAACCUCCAACCAACGCUUUCCCGGGUGAUCCCUGGCCACGAGCACGUCUAUCCCUACAAGCUGCUACCGGUGCUCCCUCUCCGCUGGAUGCGGCAAGGUCGUGGGAGUGUUCUGUAGCUCGGCGCUGCACCAUGGGCACCCGAUCAUCGCCCUCAUGGCCACUGCCGCAGACUUCGUGUCUGGCCUGCUUAUCCUCACUAUGUUCUGAAUGGGAGGCAGUGCAUGACUGGUGACCAGUGUCUAACUUUGAUAGUUGACGCUGAUGACGGAUUCAAGCACUCCACCAUAUUCUUGGUGCAACACCACGGAGGACUUAGCGAAACUGCUUUUUAGCCAUUAACACCCAAGUCCUAGAUUUUGUUAAUGGCAUAAAUUUUGAUGGAUAGGAUUUUAAUGAGGUGCAUAGCAGUGUAGGUCCAGAUGACAGAGAUAAUUGUACGUAAAAUGUGUAGACAUAGUUUGACACUUUUGCUGAAACAUACUACUCCCUUUAGUAAAAAAAGAUGUCCUGAAUAAGCUCUAAUAUGGCAUCAUGAUUGUUACCAUUUGUUCCGAAGAACAAAGGGAAGUUCUAUAAAAUAAUUGACUGUUAUUUUUUCAGUUUUUUUCUCUCAUGUACUUUUACUAGAUCAUGAUGUUUAGUGAUCCUUUUUCCA